GGCUCAGAUUGAACGCUAGCGGGAUGCCUUACACAUGCAAGUCGAACGGCAGCACGGACUUCGGUCUGGUGGCGAGUGGCGAACGGGUGAGUAAUGUAUCGGAACGUGCCUAGUAGCGGGGGAUAACUACGCGAAAGCGUAGCUAAUACCGCAUACGCCCUACGGGGGAAAGCAGGGGAUCGCAAGACCUUGCACUAUUAGAGCGGCCGAUAUCGGAUUAGCUAGUUGGUGGGGUAACGGCUCACCAAGGCGACGAUCCGUAGCUGGUUUGAGAGGACGACCAGCCACACUGGGACUGAGACACGGCCCAGACUCCUACGGGAGGCAGCAGUGGGGAAUUUUGGACAAUGGGGGAAACCCUGAUCCAGCCAUCCCGCGUGUGCGAUGAAGGCCUUCGGGUUGUAAAGCACUUUUGGCAGGAAAGAAACGCCGCGGGUUAAUACCCUGCGGAACUGACGGUACCUGCAGAAUAAGCACCGGCUAACUACGUGCCAGCAGCCGCGGUAAUACGUAGGGUGCAAGCGUUAAUCGGAAUUACUGGGCGUAAAGCGUGCGCAGGCGGUUCGGAAAGAAAGAUGUGAAAUCCCAGAGCUUAACUUUGGAACUGCAUUUUUAACUACCGAGCUAGAGUGUGUCAGAGGGAGGUGGAAUUCCGCGUGUAGCAGUGAAAUGCGUAGAUAUGCGGAGGAACACCGAUGGCGAAGGCAGCCUCCUGGGAUAACACUGACGCUC
rnacentral:rRNA from 1 species